AGAAGAUCUUUGUACGUAGUGUGAUGCAAUGUGGGUGGAGUUCUGUGGUCUAUAAAUAAAAGAAGUGCAGGCCUCUCUUGUGUGAACAUUGUGGGAAACGUUGUUACAGACUAUGAAUACGAGAUGCCUGAGAUGAGACAGCACACGUGCACAGAUGUUCAUAAACAUGUCUCCUUGUUCCUAAUAGCAGGCCCGGAGUGGCUAAUCGGGAGGGUCUGGAGAAUUCCCGGUGGGCCGCGCAAUGUUUGGGCUGCAUGGGCCGGUGCUCUCGUUUUUGUUUUUUAUCAUUUUAUUUUUUUUUUUUUGGUGCCGGUGUUCAGUCAUGGCACUGAGGCCGCCGGGCUGAUCUCAUACGCUCCUCCCGGCUGUCUCUACCUGCAGGCUGCAGCUCGUUUUUUUUUUCUUUUUCCCCUGUAUGCGCCUGUGCGCACCACGUGACCACGCAGUUGACGGAAAGAUGGAAAGUAGAAAGAGCAAGGGUGGCGCGGAGAAGGCAAUAAUUAAAAAGAGGAAAGCGCUGGAAACAGAUGCAGCUAAAUGUGCAAAAAUGAGCACCUUUUUUUCUCAAACAAGCUUGCGGUCUUUAACUUCAAAUGAAGAUAAAACGGCCCACAAGAUCCAGUAGGCCUAAUAAGCACCAGGCAGAAACCCACCAUUCCAGAGCGGACAUGUACAGUGUAGUGUCAGAAGAAGAGCCAGGAGCCAGCAGUGAGGGUAUUGCUCCUGUUGGGAUAGAAGGUGAGCCAACUCAUGUGCAAACAAGCAAACAUUAGUUUCAUUAUAAUAAUUUUAAUGUCCAAAUAAUAGUAGUGACCUGUUGUAUUUUUAUUAGUAAAUGCACAAAGCCCACAACAGAUCGCUAUUAGAAUGAAAGUAAAAUGAAAUAA